rnacentral:rRNA from 1 species
UUUUUUAAUUGAAAACUUGUAUGAAUGGUUGAACGAAAUAUUAACUGUCUCAUAAAAAUUUUAAUAGAACUUUACUUUUUAGUUAAAAGGCUAAAAUAUAAUUAAAGGACGAGAAGACCCUAUAGAGUUUUAUAAUAUAAUAAUUAUAAUUUAUAAAGAAUAAUUUAAAUUUUAUUUAUUAAUAUUAUUUUGUUGGGGUGACAAUAAAAUUUAAAAAACUUUUAUUAUUAUUUUACAUUAAUUUAUGAGUAAUUGAUCCAAUUUUAUUGAUUAAAAAAUUAAAUUACCUUAGGGAUAACAGCGUAAUUUUUUUUUAGAGUUCAUAUCGAUAAAAAAGAUUGC